CGGGUGCAGCAGGCGCGAAAACUUUGCAAUGCGGGAAACCGUGACAAGGGAACUCUGAGUGCCCGUAAAAUCGGGCUGUCCAUCGGUUUAAAUAACCGGUGAAGAAAGGGCCGGGCAAGACCGGUGCCAGCCGCCGCGGUAAUACCGGCGGCUCGAGUGGUGGCCACUAUUACUGGGCUUAAAGCGUUCGUAGCUGGUUUGUUAAGUCUCUGGGGAAGUCUUCCGGCUUAACCGGAAGGCGUCUCAGGGAUACUGGCAGACUAGGGACCGGGAGAGGUGAGAGGUACUCCAGGGGUAGGAGUGAAAUCCUGUAAUCCUUGGGGGACCACCUGUGGCGAAGGCGUCUCACCAGAACGGCUCCGACAGUGAGGGACGAAAGCUGGGGGAGCAAACCGGAUUAGAUACCCGGGUAGUCCCAGCUGUAAACGAUGCGCGUUAGGUGUAUCAGUGACCACGAGUCACUGAGGUGCCGAAGAGAAAUCGUGAAACGUGCCGCCUGGGAAGUACGGUCGCAAGGCUGAAACUUAAAGGAAUUGGCGGGGGAG
rnacentral:rRNA from 1 species